UUCAGUCUGUGUUGCUUCUUGAUGGAACUCCAGAUGUACACUUUCGUCGAGCUUGUGGCGGGCAAAAGCUUAGAAACAUGAUGUUGGAUUCUAAUAUUGACUUGUAUGGACCUUAUUCGAGAUUUCUGUUGAACUGUGCUGGUGGAGGAACCUGUGGGACUUGUAUGGUGGAGAUUGUUGAAGGGAAAGAGCUACUGAAUCCUCGUACAGACAUAGAGAAAGGCAAACUCAAAAGGGU